rnacentral:rRNA from 1 species
CACGGGGGGAGCAAGCGUUGUUCGGAAUCACUGGGCGUAAAGGGCGUGUAGGCGGUCAGGUAAGUGGAAUGUGAAAGCCCUCGGCUCACCCGAGGAUCUGCAUUCCAAACUGCCUGGCUUGAGUAUGGGAGAGGAUGGAGGGAAUUCCUGGUGUAGCGGUGAAAUGCGUAGAUAUCAGGAGGAACACCGGUGGCGAAGGCGCUCAUCUGGCCCAAUACUGACGCUGAGGCGCGAAAGCUAGGGGAGCAAACGGG